rnacentral:piRNA from 1 species
CAUUUUUAACCGAGUCUGCCUC